UAUGAAUCGAAUCUGAAUUUCACAAUUGGCGGCCUCCCCUUAUCAAGCCUAAAUCCCAUACCAAUGGAGUACAAAUUAUUCUGUUAAUUCGAGAAGGCGAAUUUUAGAUGGAGGCGACGAUCUUCACGACAGCGCUGCUCAGCAAUAGAGGCUCGUCCAAACUGUGCCCCUGGAGCGCUAGCGCCCGCUAUCGCCCACGGCCAGCGCCCCGGGCGAAUUCGUAUGUUGUCGCAGUGGCCGAGCAAUGUCGUUUAGCUGGCCGUGCGUAACGCCCGCCGUGCCUCGCCAUGCCGCUGUACGUUGUACGGACGACAGACUGCUGCAGCAGCAGCGGUCAAAUGCGACACAAAGCCAUUAGCCAAUAGACACAAGGCUACAGUGGAUCGAGAUGAAUGGUCAACAGCAGCAGACAAAACGAAAGGGGAGCGGCGCGUCCGCACUAUUUAAACUUGAGAGGGAAAUUAAUUUCCUGCGCACUGCUGUCAAAAAUCGUGCCAAAUGUUUAGUAUGUCAUCGAAACAUCAUGUAUUUAAAAAAGUACUAGACUGAACGCACUUUAAUACCUGUCACAAAGAUCAGUUCGAAAAUUUGUCACAAGAGGAACGCCAGUCAAAGCUUGAAGAACUGAAAGAAAAUUUCAAGCAGUAUUACAUGGAGGGCACGUGGUGAGGAUCCCAAGCUGUUUAAAUAAGUUUCUGCAAGAGCAUCUGGGCUGCACUCUAACCAUAAUUCUGAUGACUCUUUUCUGUGCUAUAAGGACUUCAUUUGCUCAUGACUGGUUACCCCAAAAUAUGGUGCCAAAUGUCAUAAGUGUAUGGAAAAUCCUAGAAGCCUGCUGCACCUGCCAUAACCUACAGCUGGAUGAGGGUCUUCCUCUCUUACUUAAGGCAACAAGUCAAAUGUAUUAGAUGCUGUAAGCUCAAAUGAAGUUGAGGUUGUUUCUCUUUAACCCAUUACUUGUUACCCUUAUCCAGUGCCUUUGGUCUUUUUUUUCCCUUCAAUGUAUUUAGUUCAAAUUCCACAUGAUUUAAUUCUGAUGUAUGAUAUGAUGUAAAAAGUUUGUUAUUUUCAUGUUAAACAAGAACUCAGCACUCAUUUAACUGCAGUAUGUGUUAAUUAACUUGUUUGCAAUAAAAUGAAACUUUUAAUUACUA